rnacentral:rRNA from 1 species
CGCGAAUGGCUCAUUAUAACAGCUAUAAUUUACUUGAUCUUGACACAAUCCUACUUGGAUAACUGUGGUAAUUCUAGAGCUAAUACAUGCAUUAAAGCUCUGACCUCACGGGAAGAGUGCAUUUAUUAGAACAAAACCAAGCGGCUUCGGCUGUUUCUGGUUGACUCAUAGUAACUGAGCUGAUCGCAUGGUCUUGCACCGGCGACGUGUCUUUCAAGUAUCUGCCGUAUCAACUUUCGAUGGUAGUGUAUCUGACUACCAUGGUGAUCACGCGUAACGGAGAAUAAGGGUUCGGCUCCGGAGAGUUCGCCUGAGAAAUCGCGAACACAUCUAAGGAAGGCAGCAGGCGCGAAAAUUACCCACUCUCAGCACGAGGAGGUAGUGACGAAAAAUAACGAGACCGUUCUCUUAUGAGGCCGGUCAUCGGAAUGGGUACAAUUUAAGCCCUUUAACGAGUAUCUAUGAGAGGGCAAGUCUGGUGCCAGCAGCCGCGGUAAUUCCAGCU